ACAGUAACAGGUUUGCUCUGGUUGUUAUCUCCCCUGUUGGACUCUCUUGUAACCAGGUACCCAAGUCUAAUGACAGCUACAAAGGAAAUGAAGGAUAAACUACAGGUGUAAAUAUUGAAUAGCAAAAACAUAUGGCUGCCAAUCAGUUAUAUGUUACUAAUCUGAGCAGAAAAAACCAUCUGUGACCAACCCAUUUAUUAAUAAAUUCCAAAAUAUGUCU